rnacentral:lncRNA from 1 species
GUUUGAUCUUCAUUAAUAAUUUUUGGUAGUAUCUUUUUUUAACGUUGCGCUAGAACAAAUGACAAUAGUUUUAAAUCUACAUUUAGUAAGGAAAUUGGCCUAUAAUUAUCUAAUAAUAAAUGAUCCCCCUUUUUGAACAAUAAUGUCAAAAUACUAGUACGUUGUGAGUGCGAUAGACUUCCUUUUUCAUUACCAGUGUUUAAAACUUUGACUAGAAAAUAUCUUAUUUUUUCCCAAAACAUCUGAUAAAAUUCAACUGUUAGACCAUCUAGCCCUGGUGCUUUAUUUAAUUUCAUUGUAUUAAUAGCUGAAGUACAUUCUUCGAUUGUUACUUCUCCGUCACAAACUGAUUUGUCAACAUUAUUUGAAUUAUUUUCUAAUUCAGUUUCACAAAUAUAAUUUUCGACUAAAUCUUUUUUUUGACAUUUAGAACUGUACAGUUUUUCAUAGUAUUGUUUAAUUUUUGUUAAUAAAUCGGCCUGGUCUGUUGUUAUAUUUCCAUUCUCGUCACUUAGUUUAUUUAUCGACUUUUUUACCUGUCUUUGUUUUUCUAAACCUAAAAAAUAUGCAUUAUUUUUUUCCCCAUAUUCAACCCAUUUCUCCCUUGACCUAACCUGUGCGCCUCUAGCUUUCUGUUCGUAUAUCUUACCUAUUUUUAGUUCUAAAUCUUUUAUUUCUUCAUCUAAAUAUGCAUCUUCCUGUGGUAAUGCAUCUCUUAACUUAUUUCUCUCUUCCAGGUUUUUUUUCUAGUUCCCGACUUAAUUCUCUGUUUGCCUUUGCUUUAUUCUUACAAUAUGCUAUGCUUACCUCCCUUAUUUCUACUUUUAAAACGUCCCACAAUAAUUGACAAUCGAUAUUAUUAUUUCCAUUAGUAUAUUUAUGAAUAAGAUUACUGAUUAUCUCUUUGUAUUUUUCCUCUUUUAAAAUAGAGUUGUUAAUCUUCCAAUAUCCCUUACCUCUUUCUGACACACCAGUCCUAAUACUUAAGAAAACGCUUUGAUGAUCAGUAGAAUUAAUUACAGCUGGUUUAAUUUUACAAUUUUCUACUAAUGACUUAAAAUCUGAGCCAAUUAGUAUCAUGUCUAUUCUACUUGCCUGAGUUUUAUCUCUCCUCCGCCAUGUAUAUUGUUCAACGUUUGGAUUCAAACAUCUCCAGAUAUCGAUUAGUUUGUUUGAUUUUAACAUUAAUUUCAAACUAUUUACUGGUUUUGAAAUCUGGCUAUUUGGUCGUGUUGUUUUUCUAUCUAUAACAUGUAAAGUAUCAUUGAAAUCUCCCCCAAUAAUCGGUAUACCGAUACCAAAUUCUUUUAUAUUAUCACUUACCUUUUUAAAAAACGUAUUUCUAGAUGCUUUAUAAUUUGGUGCAUAUAUACAUACCAACGUAAAUAUUGUUUCGUCAAUUUGUAUAUUGAGCAGAAUUUCUCUCCCGUCAGCGUCUCGAUUUUCAUUAAUAACAGUAACAUUUAAACUACUCCUAAUUAAAAUAGCGACCCCCCUACUUGCUGUCGUGCCAUGACUACAGAAUAUAUUAAAAUCUUUCUGUAUCGACAUUUCUUUACUUACUUUUUCGUCAAAAUGCGUUUCUUGCAAAAAAGGCAAUGUCACAUUUAUGAGCUUUUAACCAUUCGAUAACCCUCUCUCUUUUAUUCCUAUUGUUUAUACCAUUUACAUUGAGACUACAUACAUUUAUUAAAUUUUUUU